UACGUAGGGUGCGAGCGUUGUCCGGAAUCACUGGGCGUAAAGGGCGCGUAGGUGGCCUGUGGAAGUCUGCGGUGAAAGCCCCGGCGCUCAACGCCGGGUCGGCCGUGGAUACUCUCGGGCUUGAGCUUACUAGAGGCAGAUGGAAUUCCGGGUGUAGCGGUGGAAUGCGUAGAGAUCCGGAAGAACACCGGUGGCGAAGGCGGUCUGCUGGGGUAAUGCUGACACUGAUGCGCGACAGCGUGGGGGAGCAAACAGG
rnacentral:rRNA from 1 species